UACGAAGGGGGCGAGCGUUGUUCGGAGUUACUGGGCGUAAAGGGCGCGUAGGCGGCGCUCCAAGUUAGGCGUGAAAGCCCCGGGCUCAACCUGGGAAUUGCGCUUAAGACUGGAGUGCUCGAGUGCGGGAGAGGUGAGUGGAAUUCCCAGUGUAGAGGUGAAAUUCGUAGAUAUUGACAGGAACACCAGUGGCGCAAGCGGCUAUCUGGACCGACAUCGACGCUGAGGCACGAAAGCGUGGGGAUCAAACAGGAUUAGAAACCCGUGUAGU
rnacentral:rRNA from 1 species